CUCAAACGCUCCUUUAUAAUUAUUAAGCCCUGAACAGGUGCUUCUUAAAGGAGCACUAAGUGCAUAUUUUGUACGCUAUAUAGUUUUACAGUGCUGUUUAGGUUCCCAGCACUCCACCUCCACAUGCCUGUCUAGUACAUGAAUAUGGCAGCUGCUGAUUGCUGGACACUGAGUUGGGGAUAAUGUUGCAUUUAGGACUGGCAAGCUCCCUUUUGAUACAGGUCUCAGGAGCCUGUGUG